CCGGCACGGGUGAGUAACACGUAUCCAACCUGCCGUCUACUCUUGGACAGCCUUCUGAAAGGAAGAUUAACACAAGAUGGCAUCAUGAGUUCACAUGUUCACAUGAUUAAAGGUAUUCCGGUAGACGAUGGGGAUGCGUUCCAUUAGAUAGUAGGCGGGGUAACGGCCCACCUAGUCAACGAUGGAUAGGGGUUCUGAGAGGAAGGUCCCCCACAUUGGAACUGAGACACGGUCCAA
rnacentral:rRNA from 1 species